AACGUCCAUACCACGUUGGAUACACCGGUUCUCGUCCAAUCACCAAAGUUAAGCAGCUUCGGGCGCGGUCAGCACUCGGAUGGGUGAUCGCCGGGACACACCGCGUGAUGUU